UACGGGGGGGGCAAGCGUUGUUCGGAAUUACUGGGCGUAAAGGGCUCGUAGGCGGCCAACUAAGUCAGACGUGAAAUCCCUCGGCUUAACCGGGGAACUGCGUCUGAUACUGGAUGGCUUGAGUUCGGGAGAGGGAUGCGGAAUUCCAGGUGUAGCGGUGAAAUGCGUAGAUAUCUGGAGGAACACCGGCGGCGAAGGCGGCAUCCUGGACCGACACUGACGCUGAGGAGCGAAAGCCAGGGGAGCAAACGGGAUUAGAGUACC
rnacentral:rRNA from 1 species